rnacentral:RNase_MRP_RNA from 2 species
GUGUUGUUCGAAGAAUCGCUAUCGCAGCUUGCGCACAGAAAAGCUUUUCGCUUUUCAUCUUCAGCUGUGGGGAAAGUCCCCGGAGAUACAGAGCACGUCCUCGACUAUUUUAUGGAAAGCGACCGCCUUUAAGCUCGACGGUAUUGGUCGAGGAUGGAGGGAAUGAUUUGCACGGAAUGGACUUCGUAUCGUUCCGUGCUCCAUCCCAUCCACUCUGUGACUUUUUCAGACGGGUUUCCUUCGACAAAGGCGCGGGUGUGCGAAGAUAUGAGCAUGUCCGUUGCUCGUUGGUAGCCUCGAUGAGAAGUCCUUCGUUGCUCAUAGAGACAGUUAUGCGAUUGUCAAUUCCUUCCAGGAGUUUUCAACACAAUGGGGCUCACUCUCGAUCAUCA